rnacentral:rRNA from 1 species
GAUGAACGCUAGCGGCAGGCUUAAUACAUGCAAGUCGAGGGACAGCACAGGUAGCAAUACUGGGUGGUAACCGGCAAACGGGUGCGGAACACGUACACAACCUUCCUUUAAGUGGGGGAUAGCCCAGAGAAAUUUGGAUUAAUACCCCGUAAUAUAGUUGAAUGGCAUCAUUUGAUUAUUAUAGCUACGGCGCUUAAUGAUGGUUGUGCGGCUGAUUAGAUAGUUGGCGGGGUAACGGCCCACCAAGGCUACGAUCAGUAGCUGAUGUGAGAGCAUGAUCGGCCACACGAGCAGUGGUACACGGUCCCGACUCCUACGGGAGGCAGCAGUAAGGAAUAUUGGUCAAUUGACGCAAGUCUGAACCAGCCAUGCCGCGUGAAGGAUUAAGGUCCUCUGGAUUGUAAACUUCUUUUAUUUGGGACGAAAAAGGGUCUUUCUAGACCAACUGACGGUACCAGAUGAAUAAGCACCGGCUAACUCCGUGCCAGCCGCCGCGGAAGAC